GAGAUGUCCUACUAAGGCUGUCGUACCAUAAAAACAUGUAUAACACAGCUCACAUUCUAAUACAAUUAUCUACAUUCAUAAUAACAUUGAGAAAGGAGAUGGGGAAUGUGUCAAAGCGACAACAACCCGACCAUAGAGCAGACAACAGCCGAAGGCUCAUAAUCUAGUAUAAUAUAAGAGCAUAAACCUUAAGCACGGGGAGGCUCUCUAUUUAUUAUUGUCAUUUCGACUAAACAACGCCAUUUUUUGUUUUGUGCCUCUGCUGUCUAAACCACCUAUUUCAAGGGAAGAGGUAGAAGAGAGCAUGCAGAAGAUCUUCCCAAUGCAAAAAAAAAAAAAAAAAAAAAAAAAACAACAGAAAU
rnacentral:lncRNA from 1 species